UGAAGACUUUGCCGGAUUAGCUGGAGAGGUGGUGCAUGGCCGUCGUCAGUUCGUACUGUGAAGCAUCCUGUUAAGUCAGGCAACGAGCGAGACCCACGCCCACAGUUGCCAGCGUACUCUCUGGAGUGACGGGUACACUGUGGGGACCGCCGCUGCUAAAGCGGAGGAAGGAAUGGGCAACGGUAGGUCAGUAUGCCCCGAAUAUCCCGGGCUACACGCGAGCUACAAUGGUUGGUACAAUGGGUAUCUACCCCGAAAGGGGACGGGAAUCUCCUAAAACCAAUCGUAGUUCGGAUUGAGGGCUGCAACUCGCCCUCAUGAAGCUGGAAUCCGUAGUAAUCGCGUUUCAACAGAACGCGGUGAAUACGUCCCUGCUCCUU
rnacentral:rRNA from 1 species